rnacentral:rRNA from 1 species
CGUAGGGUCCGAGCGUUGUCCGGAAUUAUUGGGCGUAAAGGGCUCGUAGGCGGUUUGUCGCGUCGGGAGUGAAAUCUUACAGCUUAACUGUGAACUUGCUUUCGAUACGGGCAGACUUGAGGCAUUCAGGGGAGAACGGAAUUCCUGGUGUAGCGGUGAAAUGCGCAGAUAUCAGGAGGAACACCGGUGGCGAAGGCGGUUCUCUGGGAAUGUUCUGACGCUGAGGAGCGAAAGUGUGGGGAGCGAACAGGAUUAGAUACCCUGGUAGUCCACACCGUAAACGUUGGGCGCUAGGUGUGGGGCCUAUUCCAUGGGUUCCGUGCCGCAGCUAACGCAUUAAGCGCCCCGCCUGGGGAGUACGGCCGCAAGGCUA